rnacentral:rRNA from 1 species
AGAACCUGAAACCUUGUGCCUACAAGCACAUAGAGCACAUCAACGUGUGAUAUGGUACUUUUUGUAGAACGGUCCGGCGAGCGAUUGUAUGUUGCGAGCUUAAGGUCUUAAGGACUGGAGGCGCAGCGAGAGCGAGUCUGAAGAGGGCGUUCAGUAACAUGCAAUGGGCCCGAAACCGGGUGACCUACCCAUGAUCAGGCUGAAGUGAAAGUAAAAUUUCAUGGAGGGCCGAACCGACCUCCGUUGAAAAGGCGGCGGAUGAAUUGUGGGUAGCGGAGAAAUUCCAAUCGAACUCGGAGAUAGCUGGUUCUCCCCGAAAUAGCUUUAGGGCUAGCCUCAUAUUAGAUACCCGGAGGUAAAGCACUGAAUGGCCUAGCGCCCGAGAGGGUAGCGAAGCCUAUCAAACUAAGAAUGCCGGAGUAUUGAUGUAUGGGAGUCAGACAGUGUGAGAUAAAUCUCAUUGUCAAAAGGGAAACAGCCCAGAUCUACAGCUAAGGUCCCAAAUUGUAUCUAAGUGGAAAACGAUGUGGAAAUACGCAGACAACCAGGAUGUUGGCUCAGAAGCAGCCACUCAUUUAAAGAGUGCGUAAUAGCUCACUGGUCGAGCGUCUCUGCGCGGAAAAUUUAACGGGGCUAAGAUACAAACCGAAGCUUAGGCUGCAUCGUAAGAUGCGGGGUAGGGGAGCGUUGUGUAAGCGGAGAAACAGUAGCGUAAGCGGCUGUGGAGUUUACAGAAGUGAGAAUGCCGGAAUGAGUAGCGCGAAUGUGGUGAGAAUCCACAUGGCCGGAAACCUCAGGUUUUUGGAGGAAGGUUCGUCCGCUCCAAGUUAGGCGGGAGCUAAGGUCAGGCCGAAAGGCGUAGCCGAUGCACAGACGGUAGAGAUUCCGUCCCCACCGAAAGAUUUAAGCACAGGGACACUUUUUGAAGGUCGGAGCCAGGUGUUGGUUCUGGUAGUGAUCGAGGGAAAUAUAGUACCGAAGUCCGGCUGGAAGAGAGGCGAGAAAAGCUGUGUGUAUAUCUAAGGUGCCCGUACCGCAAACCGACACAGGUAGGUAGGAAGAAGAUUCUAAGGCCAACGGGAGAAGGGUUGUUAAGGAACUCGGCAAAUUGACCCCGUAACUUCGGGAGAAGGGGUGCUCCAGAGAUGGAGCCGCAGAGAAUCGGCCCAAGCAACUGUUUACCAAAAACACAGGUUUGUGCUAAAUCGAAAGAUGACGUAUACGAGCUGACGCCUGCCCGGUGCUGGAAGGUUAAAAGGAGAUGUGCAAGCAUUGAAUUGAAGCCCCAGUGAACGGCGGCCGUAACUAUAACGGUCCUAAGGUAGCGAAAUUCCUUGUCAGGUAAGUUCUGACCCGCAUGAAAGGCGUAAUGAUUUGGGCACUGUCUCAACAGCCCGCCCGGCGAAAUUGUAGUACCGGUGAAGAUGCCGGUUACCCGCGACAAGACGGAAAGACCCCAUGGAGCUUUACUGUAGCCUGAUAUUGGGUUUCGGUGUUGCAUGCACAGGAUAGAUGGGACACUGGGAAGGCAGUGCUUUGGCAUUGCUGGAGUGGACGUUGGGAUACCAUCCUUGCGACAUUGGAAUUCUAACCUGCGCCUCUGAAUCGAGGCGGGGGACAUUGUCAGGUGGGCAGUUUGACUGGGGCGGUCGCCUCCUAAAAAGUAGCGGAGGCGUUCAAAGGUUCGUUCGAUCUGGACGGAAACCAGAUGAUUGAGUGCAAACGCAUAAACGAGCCUGACUGCGAGACUGACGGGUCGAGCAGAGACGAAAGUCGGAGUUAGUGAUCCGGUGGUAUGUGAGUGGAAAUGCCAUCGCUCAACGGAUAAAAGUUACCCUGGGGAUAACAGGCUGAUCUCCCCCAAGAGUCCACAUCGACGGGGAGGUUUGGCACCUCGAUGUCGGCUCAU